UACGGGGGGAGCAAGCGUUGUUCGGAUUUACUGGGCGUAAAGGGCGCGUAGGCGGCCAGCACAAGUCAGUGGUGAAAUCUUCAAGCUUAACUUGGAAACUGCCAUUGAUACUAUAGGUCUUGAAUUAUCUGGAGGUGAGCGGAAUAUGUCAUGUAGCGGUGAAAUGCUUAGAUAUGACAUAGAACACCAAUUGCGAAGGCAGCUCACUACGGAUGUAUUGACACUGAGGCACGAAAGCGUGGGGAUCAAACAGG
rnacentral:rRNA from 1 species